GAGGAAAUUAAAACCUGGAAGAUGCCACUGUCAAGUAAAAUAAAAAGCGCUUGCCAUAGGCAGCGUGUUAAUUCUGACCCUGCAGCAAGAGCUGAGAACCUUGCAAGGAGAAGAGAAAGGAAAGAUGUUCAAUCUAUCAUCGCAGAACCUGAGCCAACAACCUCACGAUUCUCUAAAUUGAGCAGCCAAGAUUGGGUAGAGUUCAAUAGUGCCUGGGGUUGCAGAAAGGCCUGAACAUAGGCAAUCCUGUAACCCAUUUGAAGCAAGGGUAAUAAUAAUAUCAAAUUAAAUGUUGGUUCAUAUUGUGCACUUCACUUAAAUCUGUAAAGUAAAACAUUACAUGAUUUGUUAAUACAUGGUUUUUAACAAUGUUA